rnacentral:rRNA from 1 species
UACGUAGGGUGCAAGCGUUGUCCGGAAUUAUUGGGCGUAAAGAGCUCGUAGGCGGUUUGUCGCGUCUGCUGUGAAAACUCGGGGCUUAACUCCGGGCCUGCAGUGGGUACGGGCAGACUAGAGUGCGGUAGGGGAGACUGGAAUUCCUGGUGUAGCGGUGAAAUGCGCAGAUAUCAGGAGGAACACCGGUUGCGAAGGCGGGUCUCUGGGCCGUAACUGACGCUGAGGAGCGAAAGCGUGGGGAGCGAACAGG